GGUGGCUCAGUGGUACAGCGCUUGCCUUGCAUGCAUGAGACCCUGGGUUCAAUUCCUCAGCACCA
rnacentral:tRNA from 1 species